AUUAGUGAUUUUAAUACCAUUGCAGCUGAAUUUCAAAUAAGAAAUAUUAAAUGUUACUCGGAAGCUAAGCAGGGUUGGGCCUGGUUAGUACUUGGAUGGGAGACCACCUAGGAAGGCCGGGUGCUGUAGGUG
rfam:Pteropus alecto contig49281, whole genome shotgun sequence.